GCGCUUGUCAUCAUGGCGACGCGGGGCCAUGUGCAGGACCCUAACGACAGGCGCCUCCGGCCCAUUUACGAUUAUCUUGACAAUGGUAAUAAUAAAAUGGCAAUUCAGCAAGCAGAUAAACUGUUGAAGAAACAUAAGGAUCUUCAUUGUGCUAAGGUUUUAAAGGCAAUUGGUUUACAGAGAACUGGAAAGCAAGAGGAAGCCUUUACUCUUGCACAGGAGGUGGCAGCCCUUGAACCCACAGAUGACAACUCACUGCAGGCACUGACUAUCCUUUACCGGGAGAUGCACCGACCGGAGUUAGUUACAAAACUUUAUGAGGCAGCUGUGAAGAAAGUUCCCAAUAGUGAGGAGUAUCACUCUCACCUCUUCAUGGCCUAUGCCAGAGUGGGUGAAUACAAGAAAAUGCAACAGGCUGGCAUGGCUCUAUAUAAGAUUGUCCCCAAAAAUCCCUACUACUUUUGGUCUGUGAUGAGCUUAAUUAUGCAAUCUAUAUCGGCACAGGAUGAAAACCUCUCAAAAACAAUGUUUCUGCCCCUUGCUGAGAGAAUGGUCGAAAAAAUGGUGAAAGAGGACAAGAUAGAAGCUGAGGCUGAAGUUGAACUUUAUUAUAUGAUCCUGGAACGUUUGGGAAAGUACCAGGAGGCCUUGGAUGUCAUCAGAGGGAAAUUAGGAGAGAAGUUGACAAGUGAGAUUCAGAGUCGGGAAAAUAAAUGCAUGGCUAUGUACAAGAAGCUGAGCAGGUGGCCAGAGUGCAAUGCCCUUUCCCGGCGCCUGUUACUAAAAAACUCAGAUGACUGGCAGUUCUAUCUGACUUAUUUCGAUUCUGUCUUUCGACUGAUUGAAGAGGCCUGGACUCCUCCUGCUGAAGGUGAACACUCUUUAGAAGGAGAAGUACAUUAUUCUGCAGAAGAAGCUGUGAAGUUUAUAGAAGAUCGGAUAAUGGAAGAAUCUAAAAGUUCUCGCCAUCUCCGAGGACCACAUCUAGCUAAAUUGGAGCUGAUUAGGCGUUUACGAAGUCAAGGUUGUAACGAUGAGUACAAACUGGGUGAUCCAGAAGAAUUAAUGUUCCAGUAUUUUAAAAAGUUUGGCGAUAAACCUUGUUGUUUUACAGACCUUAAGGUGUUUGUUGACCUCUUACCUGCUACACAGUGUACAAAAUUUAUUAAUCAGUUACUUGGAGUUGUUCCUUUGUCGACACCAACAGAGGAUAAGCUGGCACUGCCUGCUGACAUCAGAGCUCUGCAGCAACAUUUGUGUGUGGUGCAGCUGACGAGGUUACUUGGCUUGUACCACACCAUGGAUAAAAAUCAGAAAUUGAGUGUGGUCAGAGAAUUGAUGUUAAGGUACCAGCAUGGACUGGAAUUUGGGAAAACCUGUUUGAAAACAGAAUUGCAAUUUUCUGACUAUUACUGUCUCCUUGCUGUCCAUGUGCUUGUUGAUGUAUGGAGGGAAACAGGUGAUGAGACUGCUGUGUGGCAGGCCCUGACUUUGCUGGAAGAGGGAUUAACCCAUAGCCCUUCCAAUGCUCAGUUCAAAUUGCUGCUUGUUCGAAUCUACUGUAUGCUGGGUGCAUUUGAACCAGUGGUGGAUCUUUACUCCAGCCUCGAUGCUAAGCAUAUCCAGCAUGAUACCAUUGGUUAUCUUUUGACCCGAUAUGCUGAAUCUCUAGGUCAGUAUGCUGCUGCGUCCCAAUCCUGUAACUUCGCACUCAGGUUUUUUCACUCCAACCAGAAAGAUACCUCAGAAUAUAUUAUUCAAGCUUACAAAUAUGGUGCAUUUGAGAAGAUCCCAGAGUUUAUCGCUUUUAGGAACAGGCUGAAUAAUUCUCUUCAUUUUGCACAAGUCCGUACUGAACGGAUGCUGUUAGACCUUCUACUUGAAGCAAAUAUAUCAACCAGUUUAGCAGAAAGUAUAAAGUCAAUGAACCUUAGGCCAGAAGAAGAUGACAUUCCAUGGGAAGAUUUGCGAGACAACAGAGACUUAAAUGUUUUUUUCAGCUGGGAUCCAAAAGACAGGGACGUUUCUGAAGAACAUAAGAAACUUUCCUUAGAGGAGGAGACCUUGUGGUUAAGAAUCCGAUCCUUAACAUUGAGGCUGAUCAGUGGACUUCCAAGUCUCAACCACCCUGUGGAGCCAAAGAACUCGGAGAAGACUGCCGAGAAUGGGGUAUCCUCCCGGAUUGAUAUUCUUCGUUUGCUCCUUCAACAGCUGGAGGCAACCCUGGAGACAGGAAAGCGAUUUAUUGAAAAGGAUAUUCAGUAUCCUUUCCUUGGUCCUGUACCUACCAGAAUGGGUGGAUUCUUUAAUUCUGGCUGUUCUCAGUGCCAGAUAAGCUCUUUUUAUCUUGUCAAUGAUAUUUAUGAGCUGGAUACCAGUGGUUUAGAGGAUACAAUGGAGAUUCAGGAACGAAUAGAAAAUAGUUUUAAGUCUUUACUAGACCAGUUAAAAGAUGUCUUCAGUAAAUGUAAAGGUGACCUCUUAGAAGUUAAAGACGGUAACUUGAAAACACAUCCUACUCUUUUAGAAAAUCUAGUUUUCUUUGUUGAGGUAAGUUUUUGUUCUCUUCCUAAAAGACAUUGUUGUUCUUAAUGGUCUACAGGAUUCAUUUUUCAACAGUGAACAGGUAAUAGGCACCUACUUGCAACUUAACCCUCCAUCCCUGUUUUUGUUAAUUGAAAAGCAAUUUAAAUCAUUUUCUAAACCAAUUUCUUCCAAGAAUUCUAAGAUGAUUUCAUUCAUAAUACUUAGGUAAAACUUCUUGAAAUUUGCUGUACUCAUCUCUAAACUUCCCCAGAUUCACCUCAAAUCUAGCUGUUUUCAUUCUCCUUUCUGACUCACUCUUUAUUAUGUAGUUUAAUUCCUCCAGCUUCUUUUAUUUGUUGUCAUUUAUUAAUUACUGAGAUAUUAUGCAUUGUGACAGUGUCCAGCAACUGAUACAGCAAAACUCCCUCCUCUUUUUUUGCCAGAGAGAAGAGAAGGAAGAUUGCAAACACUCAUAAUCUAUUAUCUUUUCUUUUAUUUCUGUCACAUAUUUGUUGACUGUUCUCCCCUUACUACUCUGUAUGGGGAGUGUACACUGUUCUGGUGAUGGCAAACUGUAAGUGCCUUAGAGAUUUUUAUUAAAUGAAUGAGUAAUAAGCGGACAUAUAUGUACAUGCACACACUGCAGUAUAGGAGAAGACAUAUAAACAGCUAAUUUGAUACAAUGCAGGAUAUGUGCUGAUCAACUGGGUAGAUUUUGCCUACAUAUGUAAGUUAAGAUUUGCAGGUAAGGUGGUAUCUUACCUGCUUGGAGAGAUGUGAGGGGAGAGGCAUAUUGUAAAGAACCUUUGGAUUCCAUGCCUAGGAAUUUGGACUUUUCCCUGAGUGAAAAGGAUGUUAAUCAGUCCCCACUUCUUCAGGGAAGUGACAGAAAAUUGGAGUGAAGUGGAGGAUGGAUUUUGAGCUAGGAGAGCCAGAAGAAAUGCUGAAGAGUUAGGCCAUUGUAGUAUUCUGAGCAGGAGAUGAUGAAGGCAUGGAUCAGUAGAGUGACUGCAGAAAGUAGAAUGGAGAUUCACAUGGGAAAUUGAAGGGAUUUACAUAGAUGAACUGCGUUAGAAUUUGUUGAAUCCAUUGCCUCGAAUUUCCUGAUAGAUAUUUUUAGUGUAAUCCUUAUUGGUGAAUUUGCAAUUUUUCCUUUCAGACUAUUUCUAUUAUCCUUUGGGUAUCCAGUUACUGUGAGAGUGUCCUGCGACCAUACAAACUGAAUUUACAGAAAAAGAAAAAGAAGAAAAAAGAAACCAGCGUCAUCAUGCCACCUGUCUUUACCAGUUUCCAAGACUAUGUUACUGGGCUUCAGACUUUAAUUUCCAAUGUUGUGGAUCAUAUUAAAGGGCUUGAAACACAUCUAAUUGCACUUAAACUUGAAGAACUUAUUUUAGAAGACACUUCUCUCUCACCGGAAGAGAGAAAAUUUUCAAAGACUGUGCAAGGGAAGGUGCAGAGCAGUUAUCUGCACUCACUUCUGGAAAUGGGGGAGCUGCUGAAAAAAAGACUUGAGACCACAAAGAAACUAAAAAUUUAAGGAAGUAUCUACCACGGGCACUGAUGACUCUGCAACAGAAUAUGACACCAUCUUCCCAGGCAAAAGCAACAUCUGGUUGACCAUGAUUUUAAUCCAGAACUUCCUCAUAAAAUGCAUGAAGGACUUUGAUCGUGAAUUUUUUUAGGUGUUAAAUAUAUACAACUGAUUAAAUUAUUGUAUAUAAACCAGAAGCGGGACCCUCAUCUGGGUUUGACCACUUUUUAUACAUGUUCAUAUGCAUAUGGCAGCAACAAGAGAACCCUACUUUUCUUCUUCCCAUCACCAGAAACCUCUUUUCAGGGGAGCAGGGGGUCUAUAAAAACAGCAAUAGAAAUUAAGCAUAAAGCAUCAACCUCAUAGCAACUGAAUAGCCCUUCCAUUAUAAAUAACAUUGAGAGUUUUUGGUCUGGUCCUUGAGCCACAAGAAGUGGAGGGGAGACCAUGCCUGGGAACAGGCCCCCUUUUCACAGCACUAAGUUUGUUUUGAGGCUUUCUCAGCUACUUGGCUCCCACAGAACCCAAGGCAGGUACACAAAGGACCUUAGAUGAGAUCUGGCAUAUGUACCCGCAAUAGAAGGGCACCACUUGGAUGACCACAGGCACUUAGUUUCUGGCUAGUUUUUGUCUGAUAGUUAAGACAUCCCCAUCCUAGCUUCUGUGAGAGUUAAAAAUCUCAGGUAGGAAGGCAAGGAAGGCUCUGUUAAUUUAUAGCUGUUUAGAGGGGAAAGCAGUGCAGACCACUUAUUAAGCCCGCUGAGGACUAGCUUUCUGUCUUUCAUACAUUUGGGAAAGAUGGGAAUGACUGUUUCAAAGAAGAGAGGUGCACAUAAUUUAUGCAGGCAAGUCUGAUACUUAUUUCAUUGGUUUUGUGAGUCAUAUAUAUAUAUACAUAUAAAUAUAUAUAUAUGACUUGAAAAUUAAGAUUUAAUACUUUAAUGUUUUAAGUGGGGGGUUUGGGAAGGAAGGAAUGUAAUAUUAUGGAUUUAGCAUUAGGCUUUAAGUUUUAGGCUGGCAAAAGAAAUGUUAUUCAGUGGGUUUGAGGUUUGGACUACUUUCUUCAAACUUAGAGAAUUAUAACAGGAUGGUGUUUACUUUGUUCACCUGGAUGUCCCCAAGCCUAUAGCUUCUUCUAUCAGUGGUUGGUCUGAUAGAAGAGGUAAAAAUUGCUCUUGAAAAUGUCAUACAAUUUAUACAGUUUCUUUGAUAAUAUUUUUCUGUUUGAAUCCCUGCUUCUGUUUUUGGUCUGUUACCUAAAUAUAGUUCAAGUUUAAUUCUGUAAGAGCAAAGAAAUGAAUUUGAUGAGGAAAUUAAGCAUCCAGUGGAGGAUUGGUCUUGAAGACCUUAAAGGUGCUUUCCAACCUGCACUGCUCCAGUGAAAUGUGGUACUUUUUUCUUUUAAAAGCAACCAAGAGAGCUGGGAAUAUCUGUGUAUGCAAAGUAAUUGCAUUUUGUCCCUUCAUUUUGACUUUCUUAGAUUCAUAAUUUGAUACAGUGCUUAAACUUCCAAGGAAAUUUUAAACAAUUACUACAUUACCUGUUCAAAAUAAGGCUUGUUGGAAAUCCUAGUCCAUCAACGAAUUUCAAAAAUUUAUUUUUGAUAUGAGUAGCCACAGCUGGUCAUAUACCCUAUCCCAAAAGGAAGAACUGUCUUGAACAAGAUGAAUGGAAAAUUGUGGUUAAUUCUGAAUUUCAUGUAAUGACAACGUAUUCUUUCAUAAAACUAUGGCCUGUUUAAGA
rnacentral:sRNA from 1 species